UACGAAGGGGGCUAGCGUUGUUCGGAAUUACUGGGCGUAAAGGGCGCGUAGGCGGCGCACCAAGUCAGGCGUGAAAGCCCUGGGCUCAACCCGGGAAUUGCGCUUGAGACUGGUGUGCUUGAGUACGGGAGAGGAUAGUGGAAUUCCCGGUGUAGCGGUGAAAUGCGCAGAUAUCGGGAGGAACACCCGUGGCUAAGGCGGCUCUCUAGUACGGUACUGACGCUGAGACGCGAAAGCGUGGGGAGCGAACAGG
rnacentral:rRNA from 1 species